rnacentral:rRNA from 1 species
UACAGAGGUCUCAAGCGUUGUUCGGAUUCAUUGGGCGUAAAGGGUGUCGUAGGCGGCGUGGUAAGUCGGGUGUGAAAUCUCGGAGCUUAACUCCGAAACUGCAUUCGAUACUGCCGUGCUUGAGGACUGGAGAGGAGACUGGAAUUUACGGUGUAGCGGUGAAAUGCGUAGAUAUCGUAAGGAAGACCAGUGGCGAAGGCGGGUCUCUGGACAGUUCCUGACGCUGAGGCACGAAGGUACAGGGGAGCAAACGGG